UACGUAGGGGGCUAGCGUUGUCCGGAAUUAUUGGGCGUAAAGGGCUCGUAGGCGGUCCGUCACGUCGGGAGUGAAAACUCGGGGCUCAACCCCGAGCCUGCUUCCGAUACGGGCGGACUAGAGGUAGGUAGGGGAGAACGGAAUUCCUGGUGUAGCGGUGGAAUGCGCAGAUAUCAGGAGGAACACCGGUGGCGAAGGCGGUUCUCUGGGCCUUACCUGACGCUGAGGAGCGAAAGCGUGGGGAGCGAACAGG
rnacentral:rRNA from 1 species